rnacentral:miRNA from 1 species
AGGGGAGCGGAUUGGACUUACU